UCUAGUGAUGCCCACACUAGGCAAUGCCUGUAUCGUGGGCACCGAUAUUAAAUCCACAAAAUUACAAAACCCACACUCACGACAUUUUAGCAUUUAACAAUUAUCAGUUACUCCGGUAUACAUAUAAUAAAAAAACAAAAUUUAAGUAAAUGAAAAGAAAAAUAACUUAAGUUUGAAAUAUUUUCUUCAAAGUUGAAUUUAACAUUUAAACUUGAAAACUUUACUACAAACUACAUAGGUAUCUACAGAUGAAGAGACUUUAGAAAAGGCGAUUCUCUGGGGACCGAGUUGUGACUCCACGGAUCGCAUUAUGGAAAAUUUCACGAUACUUUUGCCACAAUGUUCACCGAGCGAUUGGCUCAUAUUACCAAUCCAAGGCGCGUAUUCAUUCGGAUUUGCUACUCACUUCUCUUGCCUACCAAUGACAAGAACAAGAAUUGUAAUUAGUUCUGAACUUUGGUACAAACUGAAAGAUAGCAAAGUUUUCAAGACGUCCGAUUUUGUAGUGAAGCCGGAUAUAAAUGAGCCCCUUCCAACUACAAUGCCAAAAGUUAUUACAGAAAACAUUACGACAGAUGUUAAGAGUCUGUUUUUAUUAGCAUAAAUAUAGCACAGCAUCUAUUAAAUUGAUAAUUUACUUAU